rnacentral:rRNA from 1 species
GACGAACGCUGGCGGCGUGCUUAACACAUGCAAGUCGAACGGAAAGGCCUGCUUUCCCUUGUGGAUUGCGGGUACUCGAGUGGCGAACGGGUGAGUAACACGUGAGUGAUCUGCCCCCAACUUGGGUAUAAGCCUGGGAAACUGGGUCUAAUUCCCGAUAGGACUGCAGGGUGGUGCCUGUGGUGGGAAACGAUUUUCUAGUGGUUGGGGAUGAGCUCGCGGCCUAUCAGCUUGUUGGUGGGGUAAUGGCCUACCAAGGCGGCGACGGGUAGCCGGCCUGAGAGGGUGGACGGCCACAUUGAGACUGGGAUACGGCCCAGACUGCUACGGGAGGCAGCAGUGGGGAAUAUUGCACAAUGGGCGGAAGCCUGAUGCAGCGACGCCGCGUGGGAGAUGACGGCCUUCGGGUUGUAAACUCCUUUCGACCGCGAGGAAGCCACCUGGUUGGAAGGGUGGUGACGGUAGUGGUAGAAGAAGCACCGGCUAACUACGUG